rnacentral:rRNA from 1 species
AGAGCGAACGCUGGCGGCAGGCUUAACACAUGCAAGUCGAGCGGGCGUAGCAAUACGUCAGCGGCAGACGGGUGAGUAACGCGUGGGAACAUACCUUUUGGUUCGGAACAACACAGGGAAACUUGUGCUAAUACCGGAUAAGCCCUUACGGGGAAAGAUUUAUCGCCGAAAGAUUGGCCCGCGUCUGAUUAGCUAGUUGGUGAGGUAACGGCUCACCAAGGCGACGAUCAGUAGCUGGUCUGAGAGGAUGAUCAGCCACAUUGGGACUGAGACACGGCCCAAACUCCUACGGGAGGCAGCAGUGGGGAAUAUUGGACAAUGGGCGCAAGCCUGAUCCAGCCAUGCCGCGUGAGUGAUGAAGGCCCUAGGGUUGUAAAGCUUCUUUUGUGCGGGAAGAUAAUGACGGUACCGACAAGAAUAAGCCCCGGCUAACUUCGUGCCAGCAGCCGC